GAUGAACGCUGGCGGUAUGCUUAACACAUGCAAGUCGAACGGACUCUUCGGAGUUAGUGGCGGACGGGUGAGUAACGCGUGAGAAUCUGGCUUUGGGUUCGGGACAACCACUGGAAACGGUGGCUAGUACCGGAUGUGCCGAGAGGUAAAAGAGAAAUUGCCUGAAGAUGAGCUCGCGUCUGAUUAGCUAGUUGGUGAGGUAAAGGCUCACCAAGGCAGCGAUCAGUAGCUGGUCUGAGAGGAUGACCAGCCACACUGGGACUGAGACACGGCCCAGACUCCUACGGGAGGCAGCAGUGGGGAAUUUUCCGCAAUGGGCGAAAGCCUGACGGAGCAAUACCGCGUGAGGGAAGAAGGCUCUUGGGGUGUAAACCUCUUUUCUUAGGGAAGAACAAAAUGACGGUACCUAAGGAAUCAGCAUCGGCUAACUCCGUG
rnacentral:rRNA from 1 species